GGAACGUUGGCAGAGUGGUAAUGCAGCGGAUUGCUAAUCCGUCAUCCCCUUAAAAGGAUGCAUAGGUUCGAGUCCUAUACGUUCCGCCA
rnacentral:tRNA from 1 species